rnacentral:rRNA from 1 species
UUAAGCGACUAAGCGUACACGGUGGAUGCCCUGGCAGUCAGAGGCGAUGAAGGACGUGCUAAUCUGCGAAAAGCGUCGGUAAGGUGAUAUGAACCGUUAUAACCGGCGAUGUCCGAAUGGGGAAACCCAGUGUGAUUCGUCACACUAUCGUUAACUGAAUACAUAGGUUAACGAGGCGAACCGGGGGAACUGAAACAUCUAAGUACCCCGAGGAAAAGAAAUCAACCGAGAUUCCCCCAGUAGCGGCGAGCGAACGGGGAGCAGCCCAGAGUCUGAAUCAGCUUGUGUGUUAGUGGAACGGUCUGGAAAGUCCGACGGUACAGGGUGAUAGUCCCGUACACCAAAAUGCACAGGCUGUGAACUCGAAGAGUAGGGCGGGACACGUGGUAUCCUGUCUGAAUAUGGGGGGACCAUCCUCCAAGGCUAAAUACUCCUGACUGACCGAUAGUGAACCAGUACCGUGAGGGAAAGGCGAAAAGAACCCCGGCGAGGGGAGUGAAAAAGAACCUGAAACCGUGUACGUACAAGCAGUGGGAGCACCUUCGGGUGUGACUGCGUACCUUUUGUAUAAUGGGUCAGCGACUUAUAUUCUGUAGCAAGGUUAACCGUAUAGGGGAGCCGCAGGGAAACCGAGUCUUAACUGGGCGUUAAGUUGCAGGGUAUAGACCCGAAACCCGGUGAUCUAGCCAUGGGCAGGUUGAAGGUUGGGUAACACUAACUGGAGGACCGAACCGACUAAUGUUGAAAAAUUAGCGGAUGACUUGUGGCUGGGGGUGAAAGGCCAAUCAAACCGGGAGAUAGCUGGUUCUCCCCGAAAGCUAUUUAGGUAGCGCCUCGUGAACUCAUCUUCGGGGGUAGAGCACUGUUUCGGCUAGGGGGUCAUCCCGACUUACCAACCCGAUGCAAACUACGAAUACCGAAGAAUGUUAUCACGGGAGACACACGGCGGGUGCUAACGUCCGUCGUGAAGAGGGAAACAACCCAGACCGCCAGCUAAGGUCCCAAAGUCAUGGUUAAGUGGGAAACGAUGUGGGAAGGCACAGACAGCCAGGAUGUUGGCUUAGAAGCAGCCAUCAUUUAAAGAAAGCGUAAUAGCUCACUGGUCGAGUCGGCCUGCGCGGAAGAUGUAACGGGGCUAAACCAUGCACCGAAGCUGCGGCAGCGACACUAUGUGUUGUUGGGUAGGGGAGCGUUCUGUAAGCCUGCGAAGGUGACCUGUGAGGCUUGCUGGAGGUAUCAGAAGUGCGAAUGCUGACAUAAGUAACGAUAAAGCGGGUGAAAAGCCCGCUCGCCGGAAGACCAAGGGUUCCUGUCCAACGUUAAUCGGGGCAGGGUGAGUCGACCCCUAAGGCGAGGCCGAAAGGCGUAGUCGAUGGGAAACAGGUUAAUAUUCCUGUACUUGGUGUUACUGCGAAGGGGGGACGGAGAAGGCUAUGUUAGCCGGGCGACGGUUGUCCCGGUUUAAGCAUGUAGGCUGAUUGUCCAGGCAAAUCCGGAUAAUCAAGGCUGAGGUGUGAUGACGAGGCACUACGGUGCUGAAGUAACAAAUGCCCUGCUUCCAGGAAAAGCCUCUAAGCAUCAGGUAACAUUAAAUCGUACCCCAAACCGACACAGGUGGUCAGGUAGAGAAUACCAAGGCGCUUGAGAGAACUCGGGUGAAGGAACUAGGCAAAAUGGUGCCGUAACUUCGGGAGAAGGCACGCUGGUGUGUAGGUGAAGCCCCUGCGGGUGGAGCUGAGACCAGUCGAAGAUACCAGCUGGCUGCAACUGUUUAUUAAAAACACAGCACUGUGCAAACACGAAAGUGGACGUAUACGGUGUGACGCCUGCCCGGUGCCGGAAGGUUAAUUGAUGGGGUUAUCCGUAAGGAGAAGCUCUUGAUCGAAGCCCCGGUAAACGGCGGCCGUAACUAUAACGGUCCUAAGGUAGCGAAAUUCCUUGUCGGGUAAGUUCCGACCUGCACGAAUGGCGUAAUGAUGGCCAGGCUGUCUCCACCCGAGACUCAGUGAAAUUGAACUCGCUGUGAAGAUGCAGUGUACCCGCGGCAAGACGGAAAGACCCCGUGAACCUUUACUAUAGCUUGACACUGAACAUUGAGCCUUGAUGUGUAGGAUAGGUGGGAGGCUUUGAAGCGUGGACGCCAGUCUGCGUGGAGCCAACCUUGAAAUACCACCCUUUAAUGUUUGAUGUUCUAACGUUGGCCCCUUACCGGGGUUGCGGACAGUGUCUGGUGGGUAGUUUGACUGGGGCGGUCUCCUCCCAAAGCGUAACGGAGGAGCACGAAGGUUAGCUAAUCCUGGUCGGACAUCAGGAGGUUAGUGCAAUGGCAUAAGCUAGCUUGACUGCGAGCGUGACGGCGCGAGCAGGUGCGAAAGCAGGUCAUAGUGAUCCGGUGGUUCUGAAUGGAAGGGCCAUCGCUCAACGGAUAAAAGGUACUCCGGGGAUAACAGGCUGAUACCGCCCAAGAGUUCAUAUCGACGGCGGUGUUUGGCACCUCGAUGUCGGCUCAUCACAUCCUGGGGCUGAAGUAGGUCCCAAGGGUAUGGCUGUUCGCCAUUUAAAGUGGUACGCGAGCUGGGUUUAGAACGUCGUGAGACAGUUCGGUCCCUAUCUGCCGUGGGCGCUGGAGAAUUGAGGGGGGCUGCUCCUAGUACGAGAGGACCGGAGUGGACGCAUCACUGGUGUUCGGGUUGUCAUGCCAAUGGCACUGCCCGGUAGCUAAAUGCGGAAGAGAUAAGUGCUGAAAGCAUCUAAGCACGAAACUUGCCCCGAGAUGAGUUCUCCCUGAGACUUUAAGUCUCCUGAAGGAACGUUGAAGACGACGACGUUGAUAGGCCGGGUGUGUAAGCGCAGCGAUGCGUUGAGCUAACCGGUACUAAUGAACCGUGAGGCUUAACCUU